rnacentral:sRNA from 2 species
UCACCGUCCCAUACUUGGGUUUUUCAUCCCUUUGACCAAAAAGCAGCGAAAUAGAAGGAACCGAAUCGCUGCCGGCACCGAACGCAUAUCCGAGCCCGCUAGCAAUGGUGGCAACAACAGCGUGACCAAUUUUGACGAAGGGUGAAUUUGGAACUGUUUUUUGCGAUUGAGAGCCAGACGCAUUGUUGCUAUUCCAUCGAUAGGAGAUGGGCCGUGGGCGUUGCUCAAGCCAUCGUGCGCAGCGUUGAUAUCCCAGCCCCCGCCGUCCAAUGCCUGUAGCAAUCCGGCCGAAGGGUCUCAUGGCCGCUCGUUUCCAAGGGUGUGUUUGGUAGAUUUGUACAGGAACGGAGACAGAAACAAGUUGAGUUAAGCCAUUGUUGGGGAUGGGGAUGAGGAAUAUUAGUUAUUAGGUGGUCGGAUAUUGACGGACGUCCUACUAGUAUUUAUGAACCCGAAUAAGGUGUGAUCGUAAUUACGCGAUAGAAUGGCGAUAAAACGAUGAGUAGAGCUCUGAUUAUCUAUCUAUCUAGAAGGGGAUUCAACUACCAAUUUAUAUCUGAUGGAUAGAUAUCUUCGCCCGAAAGAAAAUGAUAAA